rnacentral:rRNA from 1 species
CCUACGGGGGGCAGCAGUGGGGGAUAUUGCACAAUGGGGGGAACCCUGAUGCAGCGACGCCGCGUGGGUGAAGGAGUGCUUCGGCAUGUAAAGCCCUAUCGGCAGGGAAGAAGCAAGACGGUACCUGACUAAGAAGCCCCGGCUAACUACGUGCCAGCAGCCGCGGUAAUACGUAGGGGGCGAGCGUUAUCCGGAUUCACUGGGUGUAAAGGGAGCGUAGACGGCCAUGCAAGCCAGGGGUGAAAGCCCGGGGCCCAACCCCGGGACUGCCCUUGGAACUGUGCGGCUAGAGUGCGGGAGGGGCAGGCGGAAUUCCUGGUGUAGCGGUGAAAUGCGUAGAUAUCAGGAGGAACACCGGCGGCGAAGGCGGCCUGCUGGACCGCGACUGACGUUGAGGCUCGAAAGCGUGGGGAGCGAAAGGGAUUAGAUACCCCUGUAGUC